rnacentral:snRNA from 1 species
NNNNNGGGAAUACCAUGACAAUGAAGGUGGUUUUCCCAGGACAAUGCUUAUCCAUUACAUUCCAGGUGUUAUUUUAGGGGUACACAAAUCCAGGUGUGCUGACUCCUAUGAUUCCCCCAAAUCUGGGAAACUCAACUGCAUAAUUUGUGGAAGUGGGGUACUGCAUUUGUGCUCUACCUGA